rnacentral:rRNA from 1 species
AUUGAACGCUGGCGGCAUGCCUAACACAUGCAAGUCGAACGCGAAAGGUCCUCGGGCGUUAGUAGAGUGGCGGACGGGUGGAGUAACGCGUGGGAAGUCUGCCCAGUAGUGGGGGAGUAACGUAGCGAAAGUUACGCUAAUACCGCAUAUUCUGUGAGCAGGAAAGCAGGGGAUCGCAAGACCUUGCGCUGAUUGAGCGGCCGAUAUCAGAUUAGCUAGUUGGUGAGGUAAAGGCUCACCAAGGCGACGAUCUGUAGCGGGUCUGAGAGGAUGAUCCGCCACACUGGAACUGAGACACGGUCCAGACUCCUACGGGAGGCAGCAGUGGGGGAAUUUUGGACAAUGGGCGCAAGCCUGAUCCAGCCAUGCCGCGUGAGUGAAGAAGG